AGAAAUUAAAUUUAAAUUCAUUCGGUAAACGAACUUUUCCAUUAAUUAUAUCUCAAUACAAACUAUUAAUUAUUAUAUUGUAACAAUAGCAUUAAGUUACAGUUUGUAAUACAGAAAAAAAAAAAGAAAUGUACGCACUUGCGCAAAACGGAAACGAUAAUUACCGUAGGGAAACAAUACGAAAGUUACGAAGGAAGAAAUUUUCUAUAGUCUGGUAAACCGCAAGUGGACCAAUGAAGAGGUUGAAUCAAGAGUGGCGAGAGGAACAAUAAAUCCUUCAUAUCGCAGCCUACCGUGCUCGUAUAACAUCGCGGUAUACAUCAUCGAUGGACUGCUUCCAAUAAACUAUAGCACCAGUUUCUGCCAAGUCAUUAAUCAUUCAGAAGACGGUGCCAAAGAGAGCAAUAUCGAAUAGUAUGGAAACUGAAAUCCCUUUGGACUAAUCGUUCAAAAGUUUCUUCCGAAACAUGGAUAAUUCAUAUAAUAUAGCAAUUCCCUAUAGUUCUAAAUAAUCUAACGUGAUUAUUUGAAAUUUAUUGGAAUCAACAUCUGAUUCAACAUUACUAUUCACAAUGUAUUUAAUGUGGAUUGCAUUUGUAUAGUUGCAUACUAGAAGUUAAUAAAUAAGAAAGAAAGGGGAUUAUUACAAAGAAGAAUAUUAAUUCAAAAACAUUGGAAAACACUGGUUUGCUCUAUUUCUAUCACCAUUAAUUAAACCAGGAAUAGAACGGAAGCAGACUCGUGCGAAGAUGUAAAUUCAGGAAACUCGACUAGGCUACAGCUUGUUAAACUGGUUACCGAGAUGGGCAUAAGAGGCAAGAAGCUGUGAACAAGAGCUACAUCAAGAGUGCGUACAUUGUUUAAUUAACAAGUCACCGCAGCGCACCUCUCCCGUGUCCAUUACAAAAUUAUUAUAUAUAAUUUUAAUUGCAAAUAGUUAAUACUAUGUAAUAUUAAAUCGAUAAUUAGAGAGGCAUA
rnacentral:lncRNA from 1 species